rnacentral:misc_RNA from 1 species
AAAGUCGUAACAAGGUUUCCGUAGGUGAACCUGCGGAAGGAUCAUUACAAAUCUGGUUGUUUGGGUGGUUGGUUGGUGUUGUUUGGUUGACUGAGGUUGACUGACUGAGGUUUAUUGAACAGUGCCAUCUAACCCCAACCCAACACAUUUACGCUUGUUGUGUUUGACUGAGUUAUUAUAUGCUAACAAUAAUAAAGACAACUUUUAACAAUGGAUCUCUUGGCUCUU